rnacentral:rRNA from 1 species
UACAGGGGGGGGCAAGCGUUGUUCGGAAUUACUGGGCGUAAAGGGUUCGUAGGUGGCCAACUAAGUCGGAUGUGAAAUCCCCAGGCUUAACCUGGGAACUGCAUCCGAUACUGGAUGGCUUGAAUUCGGGAGAGGGAUGCAGAAUUCCAGGUGUAGCGGUGAAAUGCGUAGAUAUCUGGAGGAAUACCGGUGGCGAAGGCAGCUCGCUGGGACGGUACUGACGCUGAGGCGCGAAAGCGUGGGGAGCAAACAGG